UACGGGGGGGGCAAGCGUUGUUCGGAAUUACUGGGCGUAAAGGGCUCGUAGGUGGCCAACUAAGUCAGACGUGAAAUCCCUCGGCUUAACCGGGGAACUGCGUCUGAUACUGGAUGGCUUGAGUUUGGGAGAGGGACGCGGAAUUCCAAGUGUAGCGGUGAAAUGCGUAGAUAUCUGGAGGAACACCGGUGGCGAAGGCGGCGUCCUGGACCAACACUGACACUGAGGAGCGAAAGCCAGGGGAGCAAACGGG
rnacentral:rRNA from 1 species